GGCUCGGUAACUUAGUUGGUAAAGCGCUCGUCUAGCAUACAAGAGUCCUGGGUUCAAAUCCUAGCCGAGCAC
rnacentral:tRNA from 1 species